rnacentral:tRNA from 1 species
GGAAAGGUGGCUGAGUGGUUUAAAGCACUGGUUUGCUAAAUCAGCGUAUAUUUUGAUAUACCAUGGGUUCGAAUCCCAUUCUUUCCA